rnacentral:rRNA from 1 species
GACAGAGGAGCCAAGCGUUGUCCGGAUUGACUGGGCGUAAAGCGCACGCAGGCGGAUGCGCGCGUGGGGUGUGAAAUCUGGCCGCUUAACGGCCAGGCGCCAUCCCAUACGGCGCGUCUGGAGUGAUGCAGAGGUCGAUGGAAUUGCCGGUGUAGUGGUGAAAUGCGUAGAGGUCGGCAGGAACACCCAGGGGGAAACCAGUCGACUGGGCAUCUACUGACGCUGAGGUGCGAGAGCGUGGGGAGCGAACCGG